UCGAUGCUAUGAGAUUGACGAGCUAUCAUAGUGUACUUUCCUCUUAGAAUAUCCCUUGAAUAAGCGGAUUAACCACUUGAGCCUCAUAUUUCACUGAAUCCGCUCCAAUCUCUACAGAGCCCCAAAAGCUUAUAAGAUCUCUAAGCUGUAGGGAAGGGCCUAUGAUGGAAUCAUUGAAUCUCAGCAACACGUUGAAAGAUCUAAAAAAGGUAGAUGAUCCCAAGUAUUGCAAAUCACCGCAUCGUCAGUUACCCUACAACAAGAUGCUCCGUCUUAAAGGAGAAGAUCAUGACGUCGCUGAGAGAUAGAAAGAUCACUUGUUCCUUGAAGAGUUCUUUCAAAACAAAUGAUUGAUUGAUUGGUUGUGACUGUAUGAUCGAUCUGACGAAGAUUCCCAUGUAGAUCUAUGAAACUACAGCCCAACCAAAUGAGAAUCCUAGGUAUAUGCAAAGGUGGAGGGGUGAGAGAGCAAGCUGGCGCGGAGCAAGGGCAAUAACAUCCGAGCAACUCAAGCCCUAGAAAUAGGCAAGGUAUGAAUUUAUAUCCUUCGAUAUAGGCUGUCCUGUCUCGUUAGGUCCCAAGAAUCCAAAGGAUACAAGCUUCUCAAGGCCGAGUCAGAAAGCUUUGUUUAUUGGCGAAUAAAGGCUAAUCCGUUCUGGUUGUUAUAACUGGCAAGAGUCGGUAGGUUUUUUCAGCGCACUUUGGUCCUUCUUACAGAGACCAUCCUUUGUAUAAUUUAUGAUCCAUCCAAGAAAUGAUCUUCCUAGAAUCAAAUCCCAUGUACUACAAGGUAAAGAUAGAAUCUCGCCCGGCAACAACAACUAAUUCAAUAGCAGAUGGUCUUGGAAAGAACCUUUCAUUCGAUACUUCCGAUUCAACUCCCAGACAACCAAGGAAGUAUGCGCGAAGAUUGGGUUAGCCCCCUGCGGAGAUUGACGCCAACUCCCUCUCAGAGUCAAAGCUUUGGUUGGCACAAUCCUCUUUGGAACCCACCCUUCUUCAUACUGAGGCCGAAGGUGGUUAUAUAUGUUGCUUUGCGAUACAACAGUUGAGUUCUUGCUCAUUUAG